GAUGAACGCUAGCGGCAGGCUUAAUACAUGCAAGUCGAGGGGCAGCACGGGGGCAACCCUGGUGGCGACCGGCAAACGGGUGCGGAACACGUACGCAACCUUCCCAUAACUGGUGAAUAGCCUUUCGAAAGAGAGAUUAAUACACCGUAACAUAAUGAAGAGGCAUCUCUUUAUUAUUAUAGACUUCGGUCGGUUUUGGAUGGGCGUGCGCCUGAUUAGGUAGUUGGCGGGGUAACGGCCCACCAAGCCUGCGAUCAGUAACUGGUGUGAGAGCACGACCAGUCACACGGGCACUGAGACACGGGCCCGAUCCUACGGGAGGCAGCAGUAAGGAAUAUUGGUCAAUGGACGCAAGUCUG
rnacentral:rRNA from 1 species